rnacentral:lncRNA from 1 species
AUCCUUUCAAAAAAAUUUGUCAAUAACGUCCAUCAAUAGAAUAUAAAUAAAAUUAAUUAAAAAAUUGCUCGAGUUUAAAUUUUUUCAAAUUAUAGAGAUAUAAAAAAUAAAAUAAAAAACUUUCCAGAGUGUGAAAAAAAGAAAACGAUCAAGAAUCUCGUACACUUCUAUUAUAUCCCAAACAAUCAUGUGUAGCUCAAGAUUUUCAGUCGGCCUCUGUUGCAAAUAUAUUCCUUCCCCCUUCUUAUUCUAUUUCAUCAUUAUAAUAUUGAUUACGUGGCAUAUCAUCUCUAAAAAUAUGAUAUGCAUCUAACUACAGCUAACUCAAAUUAAUUAAUUAAUAUAUCUCAUCUAUAAAUAUGGGAUAGCCUACAACUUGAUCCAAACAUGCAAUACGAAGUCAGAAAAGACACGAAAGGAACAAUGAUUUACAAUUACAGCACAGAACCACAAAACUUGUACUCAAGAAACCAGCCUACGGUGGAGGGCCGGCGGCGAGGAGCAGCGGCGGCGCCACUACCACAUAAGGCGGAGACCGAAGAUAUUAAUGAAAGUGCAGAAGCAUUCAUAAAGAGAUUUAGGCGGCAGCUGCUUCAAGAGUGGAUGGAGUCAAUGGACAACAAGAACUACGACCAAAUUAUCAAAAGGGGUGUUUACUAAUUAUUACUUCUAUUCAUUGAAAUAAAAUUGUUAUAUCUGAAAUUAUUUUGAAUGAAUAGUUUAUUGUAAUAAUAAUUAAUAGUUUAUGUGUGAGUGAUUUAUGUUUAUCAGAUUUGCCAAUAAAAUAAUAUACUCACAGUGUUGAUCUCA